UACGUAGGGUGCGAGCGUUGUCCGGAAUUAUUGGGCGUAAAGGGCUCGUAGGCGGUUUGUCGCGUCGGGAGUGAAAACUCAGGGCUUAACCCUGAGCCUGCUCCCGAUACGGGCAGACUAGAGGUAUGCAGGGGAGAACGGAAUUCCUGGUGUAGCGGUGAAAUGCGCAGAUAUCAGGAGGAACACCGGUGGCGAAGGCGGUUCUCUGGGCAUUACCUGACGCUGAGGAGCGAAAGUGUGGGGAGCGAGCAGG
rnacentral:rRNA from 1 species